AUUGAACGCUGGCGGCAGGCCUAACACAUGCAAGUCGAGCGGAUGAAGGGAGCUUGCUCCUGGAUUCAGCGGCGGACGGGUGAGUAAUGCCUAGGAAUCUGCCUGGCAGUGGGGGAUAACGUCCGGAAACGGGCGCUAAUACCGCAUACGUCCUGAGGGAGAAAGGGGGGGAUCUUCGGACCUCACGCUAUCAGAUGAGCCUAGGUCGGAUUAGCUAGUUGGUGGGGUAAAGGCCUACCAAGGCGACGAUCCGUAACUGGUCUGAGAGGAUGAUCAGUCACACUGGAACUGAGACACGGUCCAGACUCCUACGGGAGGCAGCAGUGGGGAAUAUUGGACAAUGGGCGAAAGCCUGAUCCAGCCAUGCCGCGUGUGUGAAGAAGGUCUUCGGAUUGUAAAGCACUUUUAGUUGGGAGGAAGGGCAGUAAGUUAAUACCUUGCUGUUUUGACGGUACCCACAGAAUAAGCACCGGCUAACUUCGUG
rnacentral:rRNA from 1 species